UACGGGGGGAGCAAGCGUUGUUCGGAUUUACUGGGCGUAAAGGGCGCGUAGGCGGCUCGUGACAAGUCACUUGUGAAAUCUCCGGGCUUAACUCGGAACGGUCAAGUGAUACUGUCGUGCUAGAGUACAGAAGGGGCAACUGGAAUUCUCGGUGUAGCGGUGAAAUGCGUAGAUAUCGAGAGGAACACCUGCGGCGAAGGCGGGUUGCUGGGCUGAUACUGACGCUGAGGCGCGAAAGCUAGGGGAGCGAACGGG
rnacentral:rRNA from 1 species